rnacentral:rRNA from 1 species
CAGCUCUCCGAGUGGUAGGGAUGAUUAUUGGGCUUAAAGCGUCCGUAGCCGGCUUAGCAAGUUUCCUGUUAAACCCAGCGACUCAAUCGUUGGAUCGCGGGAAAUACUACUAGGCUAGGAGGCGGGAGAGGUUAACGGUACUUCUGGGGUAGGGGUGAAAUCCUAUAAUCCCGGGAGGACCACCAGUGGCGAAGGCUGUUGACUAGAACGCGCUCGACGGUGAGGGACGAAAGCUGGGGGAGCGAACCGGAUUAGAUACCCGAGUAGUCC